CGAUGAUGGGAGCUAGCUUGCUAGAGGAAGUCAUGGCGGACGGGUGAGUAACGUGUAAAGAACUUACCAUAUAGACUGGGAUAACAGAGGGAAACUUCUGAUAAUACUGGAUAAGUUAGAAGUAGCAUUACUAAGUAAUGAAAGGUAGCAAUACGCUAUAUGAGAGCUUUGCAUCCUAUUAGCUAGUUGGUGGGGUAAAAGCCUACCAAGGCGAUGAUAGGUAGCCGGCCUGAGAGGGUGGACGGCCACAAGGGGACUGAGAUACGGCCCUUACUCCUACGGGAGGCAGCAGUGGGGAAUAUUGGACAAUGGAGGCAACUCUGAUCCAGCAAUUCUGUGUGUGUGAAGAAGGUUUUAGGACUGUAAAACACUUUUAGUAGGGAAGAAAGAAAUGACGGUACCUACAGAAGAAGCGACGGCUAAAUACGUGCCAGCAGCCGCGGUAAUACGUAUGUCGCGAGCGUUAUCCGGAAUUAUUGGGCUUAAAGGGCAUCUAGGCGGUUAAACAAGUUGAAGGUGAAAACCUGUGGCUCAACCAUAGGCUUGCCUACAAAACUGUAUAACUAGAGUACUGGAAAGGUGGGUGGAACUACACGAGUAGAGGUGAAAUUCGUAGAUAUGUGUAGGAAUGCCGAUGAUGAAGAUAACUCACUGGACAGCAACUGACGCUGAAGUGCGAAAGCUAGGGGAGCAAACAGGAUUAGAUACCCUGGUAGUCCUAGCUGUAAACGAUGAUCACUGGGUGUGGGGAUUCGAAGUCUCUGUGCCGAAGCAAAAGCGAUAAGUGAUCCGCCUGGGGAGUACGUUCGCAAGAAUGAAAC
rnacentral:rRNA from 1 species